UACGUAGGGUGCAAGCGUUAAUCGGAAUUACUGGGCGUAAAGCGUGCGCAGGCGGCUUUGCAAGACAGAUGUGAAAUCCCCGGGCUCAACCUGGGAACUGCAUUUGUGACUGCAAGGCUGGAGUACGGCAGAGGGGGAUGGAAUUCCGCGUGUAGCAGUGAAAUGCGUAGAUAUCUGGAGGAAUACCGGUGGCGAAGGCGGCAUCCUGGACCAUAACUGACGCUGAGGCGCGAAAGCUAGGGGAGCAAACGGG
rnacentral:rRNA from 1 species